GUUUUUUCAUAUUCCUAGAAUAAUUUAGUUAUGUUUAGGUUAAUUAUUAAUAAAAUAAUUGUUUUGUGUAAAAUUAUAUACAUAUAACUUAGAAUACAUUUUUUAAACUCUAAUUAUUUUUAGCUUAUUCACUUUUGGGAACAGUUUUCUCACAGCCAUCUAUGCUCUAGAGAGUUUUCUUUACAUAAAAAAAAAUGACUUAACUAUUGUAAUUGAGUCAGACAUAAUACCCGGGCUAAUGUUCCCUCCUACGUCACGAUUAUGUCCUGGUCAAUUAGAGAUUUGGUCCAGUAUUGAUCACAGAUGUUCCCUGCGAGUGGAAGGUGACUCCUCGGAAGAGUUCAUUCUUCGGAAAGGGAAUUUUUCGCGGCUUUUAAUGAUAGUUUUAUGCUCUGAGCAAAUAUCAGAGAAUAUGCGGUUCAGUAUGUGCAUACUGUAUAUAUACCGUAUAUGUAUUCACUUAAUCCCUCUAUCCAUUUGGGAGAUUAUAUAACAUCCUUAAUUUAAGUGGUCCG
rnacentral:lncRNA from 1 species